ensembl:rRNA 5S_rRNA 5S ribosomal RNA
GUCUACAGCCAUACCACCCUGAAUGCGCCAGAGCUCAUCUGAUCUCGGAAGCUAAGCAGGGUUGAGCCUGGUUAGUACUUGGAUGGGAGACUGCCUAGGAAUACCAGGUGCUAUAGGCU